rnacentral:rRNA from 1 species
AUUGAACGCUAGCGGGAUGCUUUACACAUGCAAGUCGAACGGCAGCGCGGACUUCGGUCUGGCGGCGAGUGGCGAACGGGUGAGUAAUGUAUCGGAACGUACCCAGUAGCGGGGGAUAACUACUCGAAAGAGUAGCUAAUACCGCAUACGCCCUACGGGGGAAAGGGGGGGAUCGCAAGACCUCUCACUAUUGGAGCGGCCGAUAUCGUAUUAGCUAGUUGGUGGGGUAAAGGCCUACCAAGGCGACGAUCCGUAGCUGGUUUGAGAGGACGACCAGCCACACUGGGACUGAGACACGGCCCAGACUCCUACGGGAGGCAGCAGUGGGGAAUUUUGGACAAUGGGGGCAACCCUGAUCCAGCCAUCCCGCGUGUGCGACGAAGGCCUUCGGGUUGUAAAGCACUUUUGGCAGGAAAGAAAUUGCCUGGGUUAAUACCCUGGGUAGAUGACGGUACCUGCAGAAUAAGCACCGGCUAACUACGUGCCAGCCGCCGCAGUAA